UGUCAAACUGAUGAGCACUUUCUAAUC
rnacentral:piRNA from 1 species